rnacentral:tRNA from 1 species
GGCGGCCCUGGCCGCGGCCGUGGUGCUGCGCAGGCGCUCGCGCCGCCUGCGCGACGAAACGGGCGCGCCCGGUCGCUGGGUCGUGCCCGGGGCCUGCCU